ensembl:lncRNA
AUGUACGGUUAUAUAUAUAUAUAUAUAUAUAUGUGUGUAAUAAGCCGUCCUGGCACUCACGUAUCCCUUCCCGGUGCUGGCCGCCCUGAUGUGUCUGCAGAUGUAGAGGUUCCUGAUGAGCCCGUCGCUCUUCGCCGUGUGGACCCUGGGAGCGAAGGACAGCGUAGGUCGAUCCUCGCUGGAGGCGAACUUCAUCUGGGCCAGAUUGUGGAUGAAGAAGUUGAGUUUGGUGGCAACGCUGCCCAGACUGGACUCUAUCAACCUGAGAGGCCCAGCAGGUUGAGGAACAGGUGCGUGUGCUUCCUGAUCAGGUUGUACGCCUCGCAGCAGAGGUCCACGAAGCCGUGGAAGCGGCUCGACGGUUUGUCUCCUCCGUUGAUGACGUACGCCAUGUCGGAGGUGAACACGAAGGGGGCGCGGUCCCUGCGAGCGUCACGUGACACACAGAGGCGGUGGCAUGCAGGUAAACCGUAAAUACAGAUAACCCUUCUACUGUGACUGUGUCCGAUCGUCCCAUGAACAUGAACAUGACAUCACGACUCACCUUUUGAUGUUCCCAAACAUCUGGGCGUGUCCCAGGAACUUUCCGAAGUCGAUGUGGAACAUGUGGCCGCUCUUCUUCAGCAUGAUGUUGUCGUUGUGGCGGUCACAGAUUCCCAGGAUGUAGGUGGCCACGCAGCAGCCGGCACACGAGAAGAUGAAGUUCUCCACCGCCUGAGCGCAGAGUGAUUAUUGCUUAAUCAGUGAGCAAUCCGCACCUGAGGGAGUGACACCUGGUGUGUCAGGUGUGUGUGUGUGUCCAGGUGUGUGUACCUUGUCAUACUGCUCAUCGGUGGGGUUGUGUUUCUGCAGCCAGUCGGCCAGCGGCCGGUCUUUGAAGGACCCGGUGACUCCGUGCUCCACCUGGAUCUUCCUCAGGGUGUCAGCCUGAGGAAUCAUCUCCACCAUACCUGGGGACAAGACACCGGUCAGUCAUACCUGGGGACAAGACACCUGUCAAUCGACAGCUCACCUCUUGUGACAUACACCGGUCUUCUUUUG